rnacentral:snRNA from 1 species
ACUCAUACUUUGCAGGGAAAAUACCAUGUCAUAAAAGUGGUUUUCCUAGGUGGAGACUCAUCCAUUACACUAUGGGUGUGUUGUUGAUCUCUAUGAUUUCCCCAAAUGUGAGGAAUUCAAUUGCAUAAUUUAACUUAAUGGGAGAUUGCCCUAGUGAUUUCCCU